rnacentral:tRNA from 1 species
GCGUGGUCGUCCAGAGGUAAAGACGCCGACCUCACCAGUCGGAGAUAUGGGUUCGAGUCCCAUCCACCGCUCCC